UGCUUGGUGUGAGGGCGCGAGGUCUUC
rnacentral:sRNA from 1 species